GUAGUCUGAGGAGUAUUGGUUGGUUCUCGUCCGAUCACCGAAGUUAAGCAAUGUCGGGCCCGGUCAGUACUUUUGGGAGGGUGUUUAUUAUCGUUUGUA